AUGAACGCUAGCUACAGGCUUAACACAUGCAAGUCGAGGGGCAGCAUGGUCUUAGCUUGCUAAGGCCGAUGGCGACCGGCGCACGGGUGAGUAACACGUAUCCAACCUGCCGUCUACUCUUGGACAGCCUUCUGAAAGGAAGAUUAAUACAAGAUGGCAUCAUGAGUCCGCAUGUUCACAUGAUUAAAGGUAUUCCGGUAGACGAUGGGGAUGCGUUCCAUUAGAUAGUAGGCGGGGUAACGGCCCACCUAGUCUUCGAUGGAUAGGGGUUCUGAGAGGAAGGUCCCCCACAUUGGAACUGAGACACGGUCCAAACUCCUACGGGAGGCAGCAGUGAGGAAUAUUGGUCAAUGGGCGAGAGCCUGAACCAGCCAAGUAGCGUGAAGGAUGACUGCCCUAUGGGUUGUAAACUUCUUUUAUAAAGGAAUAAAGUCGGGUAUGCAUACCCGUUUGCAUGUACUUUAUGAAUAAGGAUCGGCUAACUCCGUGCCAGCAGCCGCGGUAAUACGGAGGAUCCGAGCGUUAUCCGGAUUUAUUGGGUUUAAAGGGAGCGUAGAUGGAUGUUUAAGUCAGUUGUGAAAGUUUGCGGCUCAACCGUAAAAUUGCAGUUGAUACUGGAUAUCUUGAGUGCAGUUGAGGCAGGCGGAAUUCGUGGUGUAGCGGUGAAAUGCUUAGAUAUCACGAAGAACUCCGAUUGCGAAGGCAGCCUGCUAAGCUGCAACUGACAUUGAGGCUCGAAAGUGUGGGUAUCAAACAGGAUUAGAUACCCUGGUAGUCCACACGGUAAACGAUGAAUACUCGCUGUUUGCGAUAUACUGCAAGCGGCCAAGCGAAAGCGUUAAGUAUUCCACCUGGGGAGUACGCCGGCAACGGUGAAACUCAAAGGAAUUGACGGGGGCCCGCACAAGCGGUGGAGUAUGUGGUUUAAUUCGACGCAACGCGAAGAACCUUACCAAGGCUUGACAUAUACAGGAAUAUAUAAGAGAUUAUAUAGCUCUUCGGAGUCUGUAUACAGGUGGUGCAUGGUUGUCGUCAGCUCGUGUCGUGAGAUGUUGGGUUAAGUCCCGCAACGAGCGCAACCCCUGUCCCUAGUUGCCAGCAUGUAGAGAUGGGAACUCUAAGGAGACUGCCGUAGAUAAUACGGAGGAAGGUGGGGAUGACGUCAAAUCAGCACGGCCCUUACGUCCGGGGCUACACACGUGUUACAAUGGGGGGUACAGAGGGCCGCUACCACGCGAGUGGAUGCCAAUCCCAAAAACCUCUCUCAGUUCGGACUGGAGUCUGCAACCCGACUCCACGAAGCUGGAUUCGCUAGUAAUCGCGCAUCAGCCACGGCGCGGUGAAUACGUUCCCGGGCCUUGUACACACCGCCCGUCACACCAUGAGAGUUGGGGAUACCCGAAGCCUGUGAGCCAACAGUUAAAUGAGGCAGCAGUCGAAGGUAGAAUCAAUGAUUGGGGUG
rnacentral:rRNA from 1 species